rfam:Gossypium arboreum cultivar AKA8401 contig_35816_1, whole genome shotgun sequence.
UAUUAAAAUUUUAUCAAUUUUUACUGUUAAAAAUUGACGUGAUUGAUAAAAUAAUUAAAUAGUUAUACGUGGUGUGUCAUGUGUAUCGUAUUCUAACAUACAUGAACUAAUUUUUAAUAAUAAAAAUAGAUAAAAAUUUUAUCA